rnacentral:SRP_RNA from 1 species
CCGUGCUAGACGGGGAAAUAGCGGAGCCCUGUAACCUGCAAUCCGCUACAGCAGGGUUGAAUUCCUGGACCGAGGCUCUACUCUGUGAGGUCUGGCCUGGAUAAGUGGCUGAGAAGUUCGGGUCCUUCGCAACAGGACGCUUUGAACCGUGUCAGAUCCGGAAGGAAGCAGCACUAAGAGGCUAAUCCUGUGUGACGAAGGGGAGCCUGGAUGGAGUUAACUGUUCAGGUAACGCUCGGAGGGUGGUUCCCAGGCCAGGUGCACGG